ACGCUCGACACCUAUGGGAGGCAGCAGUGGGGAAUAUUGCACAAUGGGGGAAACCCUGAUGCAGCGAUGCCGCGUGAAGGAAGAAGUAUCUCGGUAUGUAAACUUCUAUCAGCAGGGAAGAAAUGACGGUACCUGACUAAGAACGCCCCGGCUAACUACGUGCCAACAGCCGCGGUAAUCUGAGCGGGCUGGCAAGGC
rnacentral:rRNA from 1 species